AAACCAUGAUGUGGAUAGCUCCUUAAUAAAUCCUUGACCCAUUUCCAACAAUCAUACAAAGUUUCAUUCUUCUGCAGAAGAAACCCUGCUAUGUCAUUCCUCAACUU